GUGCUUGCUUCACCAGCAUAGAUACUAAAAUUGGAACAAUACUGAGAUUAGCAUGGCCCCUGUGCUAGAAUGACUUGCAUAUUCCUAAAGCAUUCCAUGUUUAA